UACAUUUGCAACUUCAAAUGAAAAAAUCAUUGAUGUACAUAAAAAUCAUUUAAAUAAUAUUGGCAUG
ncrna:unclassified sequences S15-Flavobacteria ribosomal protein leader